rnacentral:rRNA from 1 species
GGCCAGCAGCCGCGGUAAUACGGAGGGUGCAAGCGUUGUCCGGAUUUAUUGGGUUUAAAGGGUGCGUAGGCGGCCCUGUAAGUCAGUGGUGAAAGCCUCCAGCUCAACUGGAGAACUGCCAUUGAUACUGCAGGGCUUGAGUACAGACGAGGUUGGCGGAAUUGAUUGUGUAGCGGUGAAAUGCAUAGAUACAAUCAAGAACUCCGAUUGCGUAGGCAGCUAACUAGGCUGUAACUGACGCUGAGGCACGAAAGCGUGGGGAGCGAACAGGAUUAGAUACCCUGGUAGUCCACGCUGUAAACGAUGAUUACUCGAUGUCGGCGAUAAACAGUCGGCGUCUUAGCGAAAGCGUUAAGUAAUCCACCUGGGGAGUACGCCCGCAAGGGUGAAACUCAAAGGAAUUGACGGGGGCCCGCACAAGG